rnacentral:rRNA from 1 species
UCCGUAGGUGACCUGCGGAGGGAUCAUUACCGAGUUAUACAACUCAUCAACCCUGUGAACAUACCUAAACGUUGCUUCGGCGGGAACAGACGGCCCCGUAACACGGGCCGCCCCCGCCAGAGGACCCCCUAACUCUGUUUCUAUAAUGUUUCUUCUGAGUAAAACAAGCAAAUAAAUUAAAACUUUCAACAACGGAUCUCUUGGCUCUGGCAUCGAUGAAGAACGCAGCGAAAUGCGAUAAGUAAUGUGAAUUGCAGAAUUCAGUGAAUCAUCGAAUCUUUGAACGCACAUUGCGCCCGCCAGUAUUCUGGCGGGCAUGCCUGUUCGAGCGUCAUUACAACCCUCAGGCCCCCGGGCCUGGCGUUGGGGAUCGGCGGAGCCCCCCGCGGGCACACGCCGUCCCCCAAAUACAGUGGCGGUCCCGCCGCAGCUUCCAUUGCGUAGUAGCUAACACCUCGCAACUGGAGAGCGGCGCGGCCACGCCGUAAAACCCCCAACUUCUGAACGUUGACCUCGAAUCAGGUAGGAAUACCCGCUGAACUUAAGCAUAUCAAUAAGCGGAGGA